rnacentral:rRNA from 1 species
AGCGUACACGGUGGAUGCCCUGGCAGUCAGAGGCGAUGAAGGACGUGCUAAUCUGCGAUAAGCGUCGGUAAGGUGAUAUGAACCGUUAUAACCGGCGAUUUCCGAAUGGGGAAACCCAGUGUGUUUCGACACACUAUCAUUAACUGAAUUCAUAGGUUAAUGAGGCGAACCGGGGGAACUGAAACAUCUAAGUACCCCGAGGAAAAGAAAUCAACCGAGAUUCCCCCAGUAGCGGCGAGCGAACGGGGAGCAGCCCAGAGCCUGAAUCAGUGUGUGUGUUAGUGGAAGCGUCUGGAAAGGCGCGCGAUACAGGGUGACAGCCCCGUACACAAAAAUGCACAUACUGUGAGCUCGAUGAGUAGGGCGGGACACGUGGUAUCCUGUCUGAAUAUGGGGGGACCAUCCUCCAAGGCUAAAUACUCCUGACUGACCGAUAGUGAACCAGUACCGUGAGGGAAAGGCGAAAAGAACCCCGGCGAGGGGAGUGAAAAAGAACCUGAAACCGUGUACGUACAAGCAGUGGGAGCCUCUUUUAUGGGGUGACUGCGUACCUUUUGUAUAAUGGGUCAGCGACUUAUAUUCUGUAGCAAGGUUAACCGAAUAGGGGAGCCGAAGGGAAACCGAGUCUUAACUGGGCGUUAAGUUGCAGGGUAUAGACCCGAAACCCGGUGAUCUAGCCAUGGGCAGGUUGAAGGUUGGGUAACACUAACUGGAGGACCGAACCGACUAAUGUUGAAAAAUUAGCGGAUGACUUGUGGCUGGGGGUGAAAGGCCAAUCAAACCGGGAGAUAGCUGGUUCUCCCCGAAAGCUAUUUAGGUAGCGCCUCGUGAAUUCAUCUCCGGGGGUAGAGCACUGUUUCGGCAAGGGGGUCAUCCCGACUUACCAACCCGAUGCAAACUGCGAAUACCGGAGAAUGUUAUCACGGGAGACACACGGCGGGUGCUAACGUCCGUCGUGAAGAGGGAAACAACCCAGACCGCCAGCUAAGGUCCCAAAGUCAUGGUUAAGUGGGAAACGAUGUGGGAAGGCCCAGACAGCCAGGAUGUUGGCUUAGAAGCAGCCAUCAUUUAAAGAAAGCGUAAUAGCUCACUGGUCGAGUCGGCCUGCGCGGAAGAUGUAACGGGGCUAAACCAUGCACCGAAGCUGCGGCAGCGACACUAUGUGUUGUUGGGUAGGGGAGCGUUCUGUAAGCCUGUGAAGGUGUACUGUGAGGUAUGCUGGAGGUAUCAGAAGUGCGAAUGCUGACAUAAGUAACGAUAAAGCGGGUGAAAAGCCCGCUCGCCGGAAGACCAAGGGUUCCUGUCCAACGUUAAUCGGGGCAGGGUGAGUCGACCCCUAAGGCGAGGCCGAAAGGCGUAGUCGAUGGGAAACAGGUUAAUAUUCCUGUACUUGGUGUUACUGCGAAGGGGGGACGGAGAAGGCUAUGUUGGCCGGGCGACGGUUGUCCCGGUUUAAGCGUGUAGGCUGGUUUUCCAGGCAAAUCCGGAAAAUCAAGGCUGAGGCGUGAUGACGAGGCACUACGGUGCUGAAGCAACAAAUGCCCUGCUUCCAGGAAAAGCCUCUAAGCAUCAGGUAACAUCAAAUCGUACCCCAAACCGACACAGGUGGUCAGGUAGAGAAUACCAAGGCGCUUGAGAGAACUCGGGUGAAGGAACUAGGCAAAAUGGUGCCGUAACUUCGGGAGAAGGCACGCUGAUAUGUAGGUGAAGUCCCUCGCGGAUGGAGCUGAAAUCAGUCGAAGAUACCAGCUGGCUGCAACUGUUUAUUAAAAACACAGCACUGUGCAAACACGAAAGUGGACGUAUACGGUGUGACGCCUGCCCGGUGCCGGAAGGUUAAUUGAUGGGGUCAGCGCAAGCGAAGCUCUUGAUCGAAGCCCCGGUAAACGGCGGCCGUAACUAUAACGGUCCUAAGGUAGCGAAAUUCCUUGUCGGGUAAGUUCCGACCUGCACGAAUGGCGUAAUGAUGGCCAGGCUGUCUCCACCCGAGACUCAGUGAAAUUGAACUCGCUGUGAAGAUGCAGUGUACCCGCGGCAAGACGGAAAGACCCCGUGAACCUUUACUAUAGCUUGACACUGAACAUUGAGCCUUGAUGUGUAGGAUAGGUGGGAGGCUUAGAAGUGUGGACGCCAGUCUGCAUGGAGCCGACCUUGAAAUACCACCCUUUAAUGUUUGAUGUUCUAACGUUGACCCGUGAUCCGGGUUGCGGACAGUGUCUGGUGGGUAGUUUGACUGGGGCGGUCUCCUCCUAAAGAGUAACGGAGGAGCACGAAGGUUGGCUAAUCCUGGUCGGACAUCAGGAGGUUAGUGCAAUGGCAUAAGCCAGCUUGACUGCGAGCGUGACGGCGCGAGCAGGUGCGAAAGCAGGUCAUAGUGAUCCGGUGGUUCUGAAUGGAAGGGCCAUCGCUCAACGGAUAAAAGGUACUCCGGGGAUAACAGGCUGAUACCGCCCAAGAGUUCAUAUCGACGGCGGUGUUUGGCACCUCGAUGUCGGCUCAUCACAUCCUGGGGCUGAAGUAGGUCCCAAGGGUAUGGCUGUUCGCCAUUUAAAGUGGUACGCGAGCUGGGUUUAGAACGUCGUGAGACAGUUCGGUCCCUAUCUGCCGUGGGCGCUGGAGAACUGAGGGGGGCUGCUCCUAGUACGAGAGGACCGGAGUGGACGCAUCACUGGUGUUCGGGUUGUCAUGCCAAUGGCACUGCCCGGUAGCUAAAUGCGGAAGAGAUAAGUGCUGAAAGCAUCUAAGCACGAAACUUGCCCCGAGAUGAGUUCU